CUUGAGAGAACUCGGGUGAAGGAACUAGGCAAAAUGGCACCGUAACUUCGGGAGAAGGUGCGCCGGUGAGGGUGAAGCAUUUACUGCGUAAGCCCACGCCGGUCGAAGAUACCAGGCCGCUGCGACUGUUUAUUAAAAACACAGCACUUUGCAAACACGAAAGUGGACGUAUAGGGUGUGACGCCUGCCCGGUGCCGGAAGGUUAAUUGAUGGGGUUAGCUAACGCGAAGCUCUUGAUCGAAGCCCCGGUAAACGGCGGCCGUAACUAUAACGGUCCUAAGGUAGCGAAAUUCCUUGUCGGGUAAGUUCCGACCUGCACGAAUGGCGUAACGAUGGCGGCGCUGUCUCCACCCGAGACUCAGUGAAAUUGAAAUCGCUGUGAAGAUGCAGUGUAUCCGCGGCUAGACGGAAAGACCCCGUGAACCUUUACUAUAGCUUUGCACUGGACUUUGAAUUUGCUUGUGUAGGAUAGGUGGGAGGCUUUGAAGCGUGGACGCCAGUCUGCGUGGAGCCAACCUUGAAAUACCACCCUGGCAACUUUGAGGUUCUAACUCAGGUCCGUUAUCCGGAUCGAGGACAGUGUAUGGUGGGUAGUUUGACUGGGGCGGUCUCCUCCUAAAGAGUAACGGAGGAGUACGAAGGUGCGCUCAGACCGGUCGGAAAUCGGUCGUAGAGUAUAAAGGCAAAAGCGCGCUUGACUGCGAGACAGACACGUCGAGCAGGUACGAAAGUAGGUCUUAGUGAUCCGGUGGUUCUGUAUGGAAGGGCCAUCGCUCAACGGAUAAAAGGUACUCCGGGAUAACAGGCUGAUACCGCCCAAGAGUUCAUAUCGACGGCGGUGUUUGGCACCCCGAUGUCGGCUCAUCACAUCCUGGGGCUGAAGCCGGUCCCAAGGGUAUGGCUGUUCGCCAUUUAAAGUGGUACGCGAGCUGGGUUUAGAACGUCGUGAGACAGUUCGGUCCCUAUCUGCCGUGGACGUUUGAGAUUUGAGAGGGGCUGCUCCUAGUACGAGAGGACCGGAGUGGACGAACCUCUGGUGUUCCGGUUGUCACGCCAGUGGCAUUGCCGGGUAGCUAUGUUCGGAAUAGAUAACCGCUGAAAGCAUCUAAGCGGGAAACUAGCCUCAAGAUGAGAUCUCACUGGAACCUUGAGUUCCCUGAAGGGCCGUCGAAGACUACGACGUUGAUAGGUGGGGUGUGUAAGCGCUGUGAGGCGUUGAGCUAACCCAUACUAAUUGCCCGUGAGGCUUGACCAU
rnacentral:rRNA from 1 species